UUCCCUACGGGACGCAGCAGUGAGGAAUAUUGGUCAAUGGGCGGGAGCCUGACCCCUCCCCGUCGCGUGAGGGAAGACGGUCCUACGGAUUGUAAACCUCUUUUGCCGGGGAGCAACGGGGUCCUUGCGAGGGCCCGAUGAGAGUACCCGGAGAAAAAGCAUCGGCUAACUCCGUGCCAGCAGCCGCGGUAAUACGGAGGAUGCGAGCGUUAUCCGGAUUUAUUGGGGUUAAAGGGUGCGUAGGCGGGCUGUUAAGUCAGGGGUGAAAUGUCGGGGCGCAACCCCGGCCGGCCGUUGGAACUGGG
rnacentral:rRNA from 1 species